CCCUACGGGGCGCAGCAGUGGGGAAUAUUGGUCAAUGGGCGCGAGCCUGAACUAGCCAAGUCGCGUGAGGGAAGACGGUCCUAUGGAUUGUAAACCUCUUUUGUCGGGGAGCAAAAGACGCCACGCGUGGCGUUCCGAGAGUACCCGAAGAAAAAGCAUCGGCUAACUCCGUGCCAGCAGCCGCGGUAAUACGGAGGAUGCGAGCGUUAUCCGGAUUUAUUGGGUUUGAAGUGUGCGCAGGCGGAAGAUCAAGUCAGCGGUAAAAUUGAGAGGCUCAACCUCUUCGAGCCGUUGAAACUGGUUUU
rnacentral:rRNA from 1 species